GAAAGUAAAGAAGGGCGCAUGGCGGAUGCCUUGGCUCUCGGAGGCGAUGAAGGACGUGAUAAGCUGCGAUAAGCUCCGGGGAGGUGCAAAUAACCUUUGAUCCGGGGAUUUCCGAAUGGGACAACCCGGCGUGUUGAAGACACGCCACCUGAUCAUUUCAGGAGCUAACGCAGGGAACUGAAACAUCUUAGUACCUGCAGGAAAAGAAAAUAACAAUGAUUCCCCCAGUAGUGGCGAGCGAACGGGGAAUAGCCCAAACCGUUCAUGUUACGGCAUGAUCGGGGUUGUAGGACUACGUCGUUGCAUGAAGACAUCGGAGAAGAACUUUCUGGAAAGAAAGACCAUAGAGCAUGACAGUUGCGUAUUCGUAUGUUGUCGAAGCAUAGUAGUAUCCUGAGUAGCGCGGAGCACGAGGAAUUCUGCGUGAAUCUGCCGGGACCAUCCGGUAAGGCUAAAUACUCCCGAGAGACCGAUAGCGAACCAGUACCGUGAGGGAAAGGUGAAAAGCACUUCGAACAGAAGAGUGAAAUAGUUCCUGAAACCGUGCGCCUACAAGCGGUCGGAGCUGCUUAAAGCAGUGACGGCGUGCCUUUUGCAUAAUGAACCUACGAGUUGCCUUUGCCGGCAAGGUUAAGUGUGACGACACACGUAUCCGAAGCGAAAGCGAGUCUGAAGAGGGCGUAUAGUCGGCAGUGGCAGACGCGAAACCAAGUGAUCUACCCUUGGCCAGGUUGAAGGCUGGGUAACACCAGCUGGAGGACCGCACCAAUAAGCGUUGAAAAGCUUCUGGAUGAGCUGAGGGUAGGGGUGAAAGGCUAAUCAAACUUGGAGAUAGCUCGUACUCCCCGAAAUGCAUUUAGGUGCAGCCUUGUGGGUUACUGAUGUGAGGUAGAGCGACUGAUAAGAUGCGAGGGCUUCACCGCCUAUCAAGUCUUGACAAACUCCGAAUGCGCAUCAGUUUUACCUCAGGAGUGAGGGCAUGGGUGCUAAGGUCCGUGCCCGAGAGGAGAAGAAUCCGGACCACCUGCUAAGGUCCCGAAAUGACAGCUAAGUUAAACUAACGAAGUCUGACUGCUAAGACAGCUAGGAUGUUGGCUUGGAAGCAGCCAUUCAUUUAAAGAGUGCGUAACAGCUCACUAGUCGAGGAGUCUGGCGUGGAUAAUAAUCGGGUAUUAAGUUGUCUACCGAAGCAGUGGGAUCAUUGAAAUGAUCGGUAGGGGAGCAUUCCAGUCAGCGUCGAAGGCGUACCGCGAGGUAUUCUGGAGCGUCUGGAAAAGCAAAUGUAGGUAUAAGUAACGAUAAAGGGGGCGGGAAACCCCCUCGCCGAAAGACUAAGGUUUCCUGAUCAACGCUAAUCGGAUCAGGGUAAGUCGGGUCCUAAGGCUCAGCCGAAGGGCGAUGCCGAUGGCAGAAACGGUUAAUAUUCCGUUACUACCUCCAGGAGUGAUGUGGAGACGCAGUAGUGACAAUGCCGCCAUCUGACGGAAUAGAUGGUUGAAGGGUGUAGAUGUUGAUCUUGGCAGGCAAAUCCACCAUGAGAAUCGAACCUGAUAGUAUGCCGCGUCCCUCGGGACAAGGCAAUAGUGCAUGUAAUCAUGCUGCCAAGAAAAUCCGCUAAACUAAAUCCUGUAGGUACCCGUACCGUAAACGGACACACGUAGUCGGGAUGAAUAUUCUAAGGCGCUUGAGUGAUUCACGGUUAAGGAACUAGGCAAACUGACCCUGUAACUUCGGGAUAAAGGGUCCCUACCCGGUGACGGGAGGGCGCAGAGAAUAGGUCCAGGCAACUGUUUAACAAAAACACAGGGCUGUGCGAAAUCGAAAGAUCCUGUAUACAGCCUGACACCUGCCCGGUGCUGGAAGGUUAAGAGGAGACGUCAUCGUUGAGAGAAGCGUUGAAUUGAAGCCCCAGUAAACGGCGGCCGUAACUAUAACGGUCCUAAGGUAGCGAAAUUCCUUGUCGGGUAAGUUCCGACCUGCACGAAUGGUGUAAUGAUCUGGACGCUGUCUCAACCGUGAGCU
rnacentral:rRNA from 1 species